rnacentral:rRNA from 1 species
GACGAACGCUGGCGGCGUGCUUAACACAUGCAAGUCGAACGGAAAGGCCCUGCUUGCAGGGUACUCGAGUGGCGAACGGGUGAGUAACACGUGGGUGAUCUGCCCUGCACUUCGGGAUAAGCCUGGGAAACUGGGUCUAAUACCGGAGAGGAGCCAUUUUGAGUGUGAUGGUUGGAAAGUUUUUUCGGUGUAGGAUGAGCUCGCGGCCUAUCAGCUUGUUGGUGGGGUAAUGGCCUACCCAGGCGGCGGCGGGUAGCCGGCCUGGGAGGGUGGACGGCCACAUUGGGACUGAGAUACGGCCCAGACUCCUACGGGGGGCAGCAGUGGGGAAUAUUGCCCAAUGGGCGCGAGCCUGAUGCAGCGACGCCGCGUGGGGGAUGACGGGCUUCGGGUUGUAAACUCCUUUCGCUAGGGACGAAGCUUUUUGUGACGGUACCUAGAUAAGAAGCACCGGCUAACUACGUG